rnacentral:rRNA from 1 species
GAUGAACGCUGGCGGCGUGCCUAAUACAUGCAAGUCGAGCGAACAGACGAGGAGCUUGCUCCUCUGACGUUAGCGGCGGACGGGUGAGUAACACGUGGAUAACCUACCUAUAAGACUGGGAUAACUUCGGGAAACCGGAGCUAAUACCGGAUAAUAUAUUGAACCGCAUGGUUCAAUAGUGAAAGACGGUUUUGCUGUUACUUAUAGAUGGAUCCGCGCCGCAUUAGCUAGUUGGUAAGGUCACGGCUUACCAAGGCAACGAUGCGUAGCCGACCUGGGAGGGUGAUCGGCCACACUGGAACUGAGACACGGUCCAGACUCCUACGGGAGGCAGCAGUAGGGAAUCUUCCGCAAUGGGCGAAAGCCUGACGGAGCAACGCCGCGUGAGUGAUGAAGGUCUUCGGAUCGUAAAACUCUUUUAUUAGGGAAGAACAAAUGUGUAAGUAACUAUGCACGUCUUGACGGUACCUAAUCAGAAAGCCACGGCUAACUACGUG